rnacentral:lncRNA from 1 species
GGGAUUCGCUAGCGGCGCCCUCUAGUGGCGUUUCGCGGAGCCUUGGCGGAAACCCUACUGGGAGCCGGUGUGUCCCCCAGUAACAUUUGCAAAUGAAAGAAGAGGCGACCUGAUGUCUAAUGAUGACACUGCUCUUAUGACCAAAGGAAUGUGAGCUCGUAUAUUCUUUUAGAAUUUCCUAAGGCACUCAUGAAAGGUGGCCGGGUACCACUGUAUCAAUGGCCCAGUUGCCCAUCUCCUGGCGAGAGAUUUCCCUAAGUGACCUGGAAGUGUCACUAUUACCACCGCCCCACAUGAAUCUUGUGCUGGAGGCGACUAGAGCUGUGUGUCCCUCAGCAGAAGCAGGUGGCAUAAGCAAGAGUUCCAUUUUGGUUUCAUUUUCAGAGGACCCCAAUUGCGCAGUCUGCAAGAAAUAAUGUGCCUCUCAGGAUGGUUCCAAGCUGAGCCCAAAUCACUGAGGGAGAUUCACUGCUUGCUAACAUGAACUUUAUUCCUGGAUAAACAAGUCCCAAACCGUCUUGUCCAUAUGCCACCACGGUCAGGUCAAAACACACAUUAUCAGCUGGGUGCGGUGGCUCACGCUUGUAAUCCCAGCACUUCGGGAGGCCGAGGUGGGCGGAUCACUUGAGGUCAGGAGUUGGAGAUCAGCCUGGCCAACAUGGUGAAACCCCGUCUCUACUAAAAAUACAAAAAUUAGCCGGG